rnacentral:tRNA from 1 species
AAUAAGAUAGGAUAAAAAGUCUAUUGGGCUCAUACCCUGAAGGUGAUCUAGUAUCUCUUAUUG